rnacentral:lncRNA from 1 species
ACCAUAAUAUUUAGCUGUAAGUUUUUUAAAUAAAAUAUUUACAAAAUGUAGAGUCCUCUCAUGAAAUAGGGAAGUGUUAGCGCGUCUUCAGAUUUUUAGAAUGAUCGCGCAAGUGCGCGCGAUAUUUGAGGGAUAUUUGACAAUACCUUUUUCCCUCUGAGUAGGGAAAGGGAAUUUUGAGAUGCCUUCUGGUUAGGUUGGCACGCACUGUGAUAAGUGUUCUGUUUUCCGUGGUUGUGUGUGGGUAUGCCUUGUCAUCAGUGAGCUAAUUUCUUCUAAUUUUUGUGAUUUUCAACACAAUGAUAUCCUCAAUGGAUGUAGCUCUUGUAUGACAUUGGCAUGUGGUCGUUUUGAGUUCCUCAUCAUUCGACCAGUUUACUAGAAGUAAUAAGUUGAAUUUUGCAAAAGGAUUAUCCGCAAGAUUUCACUUGGAUGCAAUCCAAACAACAUGUUUGGUAGUGUCCAUAUUCGAUUUAGGUAAGUGUAACCGAAAUGAUUUGUUUACCUUCAUUAUCUCGCAAGAUUUCGAUGUGUUCAACGUGAAAUUUUGAUGAGAAAACUCAUCUUUCAGGGGUCAAAUUGGACUAGAUUUUUUAAGAAGGAACCACUACUCUGGGCUCAUGCGUAAAACCACCCAUCUGCUCGGGAGAAGUGAUGGUUCACACGUUGUUUCUGAAAUGAGCCAGAAAUAUUAGUUCCUAAUUGCAAAACGAGGUGGAAUUCUUACCCUGUAUCGUGGUCUAUUGCGUAAAAAUCGCUUGGCCGAAGAUGUGUCCUUCUCGGGCGAAGCGCGAAGGUCCCUUUACUGCUGCCGUGCUAAGGAAGAACGCCGUAUGAACAUUCGAGAGUUGCCAAAUUUCCCUUGGUAAAACGUGUCUUUAUGACAACAUUUAUGUAUAUUUGGACUGCGUUAAACAGAAAGGAACCAAGCCACAUCAGCUAUUGGCAAAUUUAAUAGAGCAAUUUAAUUUGUUACAAGAGAACGUUUUUGCGGAUUCCUUUGGCAUUUUUGAGGAAUUUGCUUCGUACUACUAACAGGGUUGCCACGGUCAGGGAAUUCAGGGAAAACCUGGAAAAGUCAGGGGAAAAAAAAGUGCUCUGGAAAACCUGGAAAAGUCAGGGAAUUUGACCAAAAACAGCUAAAAGUCAGGGAAAAAUUGACAAUUUUCACGAGUUGCUUAAAAUCUUUCUUUUUUCGGUUUUGAACGCAAUAUAAUUGCAACGAAGUGGCAUAUCUCGCGAUGCAUUCAAGAGUUAAGUAUUUCCAAAUGUUCUACAAUUAAUUUCUGACUCCUUGGCUUAAGCGCGUUUCAAAUGAGACGCUAUAUUAGUGCGAUGGUAGCUAGCAAGGU